rnacentral:rRNA from 1 species
ACAAUGGGCGGCAACCCUGAUCUAGCCAUGCCGCGUGUAGUGAUGAAGGCCUUAGGGUGCGUAAAGCUCUUUCGCUAGGGGAUAGAUAAUGACGGUACCCRGUAAAGAAACCCCGGCUAACUCCGUGCCAGCAGCCGCGGUAAUACGGAGGGGGUUAGCGUUGUUCGGAAUUACUGGGCGUAAAGCGCGCGUAGGCGGAUCAGAAAGUUGGGGGUGAAAUCCCGGGGCUCAACCUCGGAACUGCCUCCAAAACUCCUGGUCUUGAGUUCGAGAGAGGUGAGUGGAAYUCCGAGUGUAGAGGUGAAAUUCGUAGAUAUUCGGAAGAACACCAGUGGCGAAGGCGGCUCACUGGCUCGAUACUGACGCUGAGGUGCGAAAGUGUGGGGAGCAAACAGGAUUAGAUA